AUGGAUGGUACUGGGCUUUGUAUAUUUAGGAGGGCAAUUAUAUCGUAUCAAUUGAAUCUAAGGUUAUUGUGUUGUGUGUUCUUUAAUGUGUAGAUUUAAGUAAUGUAAUAGAAUGUGGAGAGACUGGUCUGGGCCACCUCGGAGUUGGGACGUGUUUCCACCAAGAUAUCUAGCAGAUAUCUUGGGGCACCGCAGUGCUGGACCUAGUGAGGUGGAUCAAACAACCAAAGGGACACUGCCACUGGUUUCAGAAUGCAAAGUCUCAUCAGUGUGCCAUGGAGUUGUGAAUGCUGAUGUAUGAGAUGACAGCUAAUAGAUGUAAGCUGACAUGUGUGAUGGUACUUCAUCUGUGGGUGCUGACAUAAGUGAUAGCAUUCGGAGAUGGGACUCUCAGUGAACAGCUUUGCAAGUUGGGCAAACCACAUUUUCUACAAUGGGGUCUCAUACAGUUUUGUAGAUCAAAAUCCAAGUCUGAAAUAUGGGAUGGAAGGCAUUCUGGAAAAAGGAGGAUCUAAUAAAACCGAAGAUGUCUCAUGUUUGAUGCUGGCUGUCACAGAAGGGCUAGUCAUCUGUUGGUCUGAGUGUAUUUGG
rnacentral:sRNA from 1 species